rnacentral:rRNA from 1 species
CCUGUAAGCGGGGAAUAACCCGUUGAAAGACGGACUAAUACCGCAUAAUACUAAAUUACUGCAUGGUAAUUUAUUUAAACAUUUAUGGCUUACAGAUGGGCAUGCGCAUGAUUAGCUAGUUGGAGAGGUAACGGCUCCCCAAGGCAACGAUCAUUAGGGGUUCUGAGAGGAAGGUCCCCCACACUGGUACUGAGACACGGACCAGACUCCUACGGGAGGCAGCAGUGAGGAAUAUUGGUCAAUGGACGAGAGUCUGAACCAGCCAAGUCGCGUGCAGGAAGAAUGUCCCUAUGGAUUGUAAACUGCUUUUGCAGGGGAAUAAAGUGCAUCACGUGUGAUGUUUUGUAUGUACUCUGCGAAUAAGGAUCGGCUAACUCCGUGCCAGCCGCCGC